CAAAAUAUAAAAAGGCCGAAGAAGAGAUACUAAAUCUAAGACAACAGAUAAUUUUAUCCAAAAAUUCAGCUCACGCUGACGAGAAUUUGAUGCUUUCGUCGACUCUCAAUGUACCCGAUAUUUCGGUACCAGCAUAUAGUGAGCCCCUGUUCCCGACACCACCGUUGUCGCAUGAAAGCAAAGCUAAUACAAAAUCAGUUUUCUUCCACAAUAAUACAACGUUCCUUCAAAGUAUUAUACGAAUAAGACAAAGUCUAAAAGACAACGACAAAGAAAAUAUUCAACGGACUACUAAAGAAACAAUUAUAUCUAAUUUACAAAUUUUACAAGAAAUGUUAUUUAAAGAUGAUCUACAUAUAUCCCAGCAUAAUUUGAUGGAGAGUAUGAAAUGUGUGAAAGAAUUGAGUAGUAUAUUUUAUGGAACGGAUUAUAAAGAAAUAAAUACCAACAUGUUAAAUAUUGUGGAAGGACUUGUUUCUAAACAACUCAAAGUAGAUGGUUUAGAUAAGGCUUCUACGGUCGCAAAAGAAAAUAUACAAAAGUUAAUUAUUAUAUUCGCGGAUGGCAAAUAUCUCACCUAUUGGGCAUUUACCAUAAAUAUAUUGAUGACUCAUUGUGAACAGUUCUGUAAUAAAUUAAGAAAAGCACAAGGCCAAUAUCAAGCGCUUACCUGCAUGGAUUAUGAAAAUAUUAUUUAUAUAAUUGAAAGCAUUGUUAUUGGUUUGAAGGGUAAUAGUGAAUUUCUGUGUAGUGCGGAGGGUAAUAAUUUAUGUUCCAGCGUUCAAAUACAUGUUGACAAAUCUCUGUUACAUAUCAGUGAUAGAUAUCCUUUGGUAACCCACAGUUUGUGGAAAAUUAGCGGGAUUCUACAGAAGUAUCUACAAUAAACUAUUUAAUGGGCAGAUAAAUCAGAUAUUCUUACAACGAACUUCUAACCUGAUGAACACAGAACA